UACGGAGGGGGCUAGCGUUGUUCGGAAUUACUGGGCGUAAAGCGCACGUAGGCGGCUUUGUAAGUCCGGGGUGAAAGCCUGGAGCUCAACUCCAGAACUGCCUUUGAGACUGCAUCGCUUGAAUCCGGGAGAGGUGAGUGGAAUUCCGAGUGUAGAGGUGAAAUUCGUAGAUAUUCGGAAGAACACCAGUGGCGAAGGCGGCUCACUGGACCGGUAUUGACGCUGAGGUGCGAAAGCGUGGGGAGCAAACAGG
rnacentral:rRNA from 1 species